UCUUUGCUCUCUUGCCUCUUUAGGUUCCACCCUUCCACCUACUGCUUCUUUCUUUUCAUCUUGCAUUUAUUUAUUUCUUUUCUCAGCCACCUCCUCUUGAAGUUUAACUAUUUUCUCCUCUAGUAUUUUUUCCUCUUCUUUUCCUCUAAAAUAUUCUCCACAAAAUAAUUCUGCUUUCUCUAUUGAAUCCAAUCUAUGUGUUUGUUCUUGCUAGGUAAAUAUGAGACCUUCUGGAAUCAACCAUCUGCAAUUGACUCCCUUCUUGACAAGAAUUUUUGUCAAAAAUUGAUAUUCUCUAUUUGAUUCCCUCACUCUUCUUGGUACUUGUUUUAAGUCCAUAAUCUCCUUGCCUUUAUACUUCUGUGGAUCAUCUCUUGCACUUUGUAAUAUCUGUGUUUUAAUUGCCUUCUUGGUGAAUCUCACAUGGACUUCUCUUGGUAGCUUAUUUCUCAUUGCAUAUCUUGUAAAAACUCAAAAAGUUUUAUCCAUUUCUUC